UUUAGAUCAUGAGCAAUUUCAAACAUACACAAGAGCAGAGCAAAGCGUUUGAUGAAGUCCCCAAUGUGCUCACCCAGCCUCCACAAUGACCAUGUUACCAGUUUUAUUUCAUAUGCACUUCUCUCCUUCCGGAUUAUUUUAGAACAAAUCUAUUCCUUCACAAUGACCAUGCAGUAGGAAUCUCUAACAUACAGGGACUUAAGUGAACAGCAACUCCAUUAUCAUCUGAUGUGCGCUUCUUGUUCAGAUGUCCCCAGUUACCAAAUUGUCUUUUUA